UAUUCGGCGGCCGCCGCGCUCGCCGCCGCCCGUCUCGGACCUCGGAUGGACCGGCAGCGGCAAUACCGCCCCGCGCCACUCCAGCCACCGGUUUGAACCGGAAGCGCGGAGCCGCCGGCGGAGAGGGGAGGCGCCCCGGCCUAUCGGCUCGCGGUGUGUUGGCUGGCUGGCGGCGCUGGAAGGGGCGAGCGGAGGGCGGGGGUGCGUGCCUCCCGCCGCUCCCCCAGCGGCCGCGGUGCGGCAUCGCCCACCUAGGGACCGCCAGUGGCGCCCGCUCUGCGCCUGCCGAAGCUGGUGCUGCUCGCGCUGCUGUGCUUCAGGAGCCGGCCAGGUGCUCGCCCACAGCGGCUGCUCCGUUGUUCCCUUGAGCUCCCGGACGCGUCCUUGGGUUCAGGCAGACCUUCGCCCCUCGGGGCGUGGGCCUUCUAGGUGUCCGGUGAGCACACGGCUCCGUUUGUGCUCCUUGAGCUGGGACUGAAGGCUGUGGGGACGUAUCUCGUGGUUUGACCGAAGCCUGUUGGUGAUAAGCUAGCAUCACAUAGAUGCUGGUCAAUAAUUGAAGAGUACAGUGCUUUGUAGGUACCCACCUUGUGUUAUUUCUUAAUUCCAAUGCCAAUUCUUAAUUCCACUUCCCUGUGAAAGCACAGGGCUCUGUGGGUGUCUGCUGCAGGCCAGGAGGCUCAGGGCAAUGAGCACAGCCUGAAGUACCUCAAGAACCUCUGACUACCUGACUGCUUUAAGCACAGAUAAGAGAACAAGGUUAUUCAACAGAAAGGAAGAGUGGAUUCUGAGCGAGAAGUAGUCACUGGGAAACGCAAUGUUAUCCUUAUUUAGGUGUCUCUGCAGUGCUGAUUUCUUUCAAAACCCUGCAGCCGCAGGGGUGAUGGUAUUCACACCUUUCUCCUCAUUUUCCUCUGGUUGUGCUGUAACCAAAACAUAUCUUUGUUUCAGGAAGUAACUCCAGACUCAGCCUCUCAGAAACACAGGAGCACUCAGGGCUCGCUGCAGACAGCACAGGAAGAACGUGUUGCAAGCUGACAAAGGAAACUCAGACACAUUGUUUAUAAGCCACUGCUGUCAUGAGGAUAGAACCGGCCAUCCUUGGGCUUCCUUACACAUUUCCUUUUGGAUUAGACAUUAUUUGGAGAUGUGGAGUUUGAGCACCCACGCUUCUGUGGUCUAAGGGAAGAAUUCAAUGCUGGAACACUCCAAAGAUACCUCCACGCAUCGGAACAAAGUAACUGCAGCUGAGACCUGAGAUUGUUCCAUCUUCAGUGCUUCUAGGUCUGGAUUAAAGAGUCUGCUGAGCUGAUGCAGGAGGCCAUGGUCUUCUGAGCUCUGUUAGACUGGGGAUCACAAGAUAACUCAGCUUCUUGCUAUGCGUACGGAAAGUCCUCCCUUCCCAAGAUAUGAAUUUCCCUCUCUGUUGUAGCCAUGAAAUAAAAUUUGCAGUAAGUUUUUUUCUUCUCAGGCAUUCACGAUUGCUCUUUUAAGCCAUACCAGGCUUCCCCAUAGUGGCGUUCAUUUUCCCCAAGAGGAAAGGUCCAGUUUCCUGUCUUCUGAGCCAGUGUGAGAAGGCGGACCUUCUGCAGAAGGUUUCAGUUUUCUCUCCAGUGCUGCUCACACACCUCCCAUCCGGGUAAAGCUUUUUGUUACUGCGACCUUUAUUAACGAGCAGGAUAGAGAGCUCUGUCAGUGUGAACCCCCACUCCACCACCAAACCAGUGUUCAAAGCUCAUCUAAAACAUCUGUGAUGGCCAGGAUCUGGUUGUCCAAAACAGAGCUUCUAGUCAUGGCUUUUUAAAAAGAUAUUGCAUCUCUCAUCAUCCUCUUGGAGUUUGUAUGACACUUUCCAACCACAGCCAGCUUAUUUCAGAAUAAUUCUUUUGUGGUGCUGUCGUGUCACUAUCCUGCUCUUCCAGAUCAGUCAUGUAAUGUCAGUAGAAGCCUCUUGUGACCUCCUUAUUACACAGACAGAUAUCUGCAAGUCAGUUAUGGAGGGUUGCUAGCUUGAAUCUGUAUUCAAAUACUCAAAAAGGCGUGUUUUUAUUCAGAUUUCCUUUUAAAGUUUUUCCUGUGUUACAUAUGCAUGAUGCUGAUAUAAUCCAGAAUUUUUAGUUGACUGUAAAAUUACUACUAGAUAUUAGACUGGAGUUGUUUUAACACCACUUCUUCCUCAAAGGAAAAUUAAUCAUUUACUAAACUAGAAUGUUAACGUGAAUGAUUGUGUUGUUAUGCAUAUUUUAUUUAAUUUUUUCAGCCUUCUAGGUCCCUUUCAAAAACAAGCUUAGCCAACCAAACUUAAGAAGCUUUUACUCGAGCGUGUGUAAAUGUUAAAUAAACAAAAUGGUUUUGCUGCUUAUACUUGCAGUAUUCAGCUUCAUUAAACAUGUUUAUAUGCAGUCUGUAACCUUUUGCGGUGUAACAGGCUGGAUGAUUAACUUGUAAGACAGAUUCGGUUCAGAUAAAAGAAGAGAUGGAGAAUGUGCUCUGGAGAAAUUGUUUGGAUGUUGAUCUCCCUAGACACUCUUGGGGUGCCCCAUUCAGGCAAAAUAAAGGUUUCUGUCUUGGAAAUCA